CCUACGGGGGGCUGCAGUGGGGAAUUUUGGACAAUGGGCGCAAGCCUGAUCCAGCUAUUCCGCGUGUGGGAAGACGGCCUUCGGGUUGUAAACCACUUUUGUAGAGAACGAAAAGUCUGUUGAUAAUACCGAUAGAUGAUGACGGUACUCUAAGAAUCAGCACCGGCUAACUACGUGCCAGCAGCCGCGGUAAUACGUAGGGUGCGAGCGUUAAUCGGAAUUACUGGGCGUAAAGGGUGUGCAGGCGGUUUUGCAAGAUGGAUGUGAAAGCCCCGGGCUUAACCUGGGAAAGCCAUACAUGACUGCAAGACUAGAGUGCGUCAGAGGGGGGUGGAAUUCCAAGUGUAGCAGUGAAAUGCGUAGAUAUUUGGAAGAACACCGAUGGCGAAGGCAGCCCCCUGGGACGCAACUGACGCUCAUACACGAAAGCGUGGGGAGCAAACAGGAUUAGAUACCCCAGUAGUC
rnacentral:rRNA from 1 species